rnacentral:pre_miRNA from 4 species
GAUUAGAAGGUCUCGCGAAUUCACAGGACAUAUCUUGUGGUAUGAACUAAGUACGUGAUGAUUUAUGGUGUGUAUUGGGGGCUUACCAUAAGAUAAGGCUGUGAAUUUGCGAAACUUUCAAACC